UAGUUUGUCACUCGCUCAUUACUCGUUCCAUUACAUCGAGUUAUGAAAAGAAUUUUUAAACGUACUUGGGGACGGUCGUGACAUUUUGUAUAUUUUAACUUCUUUUGAAAAACGUAAAAAUUUGAAAAUUCGCUUUAAAGUGAUAACGUAGUAAACGAGCAUUGUUUUUUGAUUACAAAUCACUAUUAAAUAAAAUUACUUCACAACUAAAUUUGUACAGAGAGAAACAAGACAAAGUAAAGUAAAGCUGAAGCAUUGAGAUAAAUUACAGCGAUAGGUAUCGUUGUAAACUACGAAAGAAGGGAAAGUGAGCAGUUAUUUAAUUGAGAAGAAAAAAAAA